UACGUAGGUGGCAAGCGUUGUCCGGAAUUACUGGGUGUAAAGCGCGUGUAGGCGGCAGACCAAGUCGGCGGUGAAAGCGCCCGGCUCAACUGGGCGAGGUCCGUGGAAACUGGUCAGCUGGAGGACGGUAGAGGCGAGUGGAAUUCCCGGUGUAGCGGUGGAAUGCGCAGAUAUCAGGAGGAACACCAAUAGCGAAGGCAGCUCGCUGGGGACGUUUACUGACGCUGAGGAGCGAAAAGCGUGGGGGAGCGAACAGG
rnacentral:rRNA from 1 species